rnacentral:rRNA from 1 species
AUUGAACGCUGGCGGCAUGCCUUACACAUGCAAGUCGAACGGUAACGGGCCUUCGGGUGCCGACGAGUGGCGAACGGGUGAGUAAUACAUCGGAACGUGCCCGAUCGUGGGGGUUAACGAGGCGAAAGCUUUGCUAAUACCGCAUACGAUCUACGGAUGAAAGCAGGGGACCGCAAGGCCUUGCGCGGACGGAGCGGCCGAUGGCGGAUUAGGUAGUUGGUGGGAUAAAAGCUUACCAAGCCGACGAUCUGUAGCUGGUCUGAGAGGAUGAUCAGCCACACUGGGACUGAGACACGGCCCAGACUCCUACGGGAGGCAGCAGUGGGGAAUUUUGGACAAUGGGCGCAAGCCUGAUCCAGCCAUGCCGCGUGCAGGAUGAAGGCCUUCGGGUUGUAAACUGCUUUUGUACGGAACGAAAAGCCUUCUUUUAAUACAGGAGGGUCAUGACGGUACCGGAAGAAUAAGCACCGGCUAACUACGUG